AAACAGCUGGAGAUGGUAAUCAUUGACUUCCUGGCGCCGAAUUCUUAGCAAGGCAACGACAGAUAUACAUCUGGGCGUUUAUAUCAUUGUUUCUUUUUCAAUUGUCUAUAAGUAACACAUUUAUGAGCGCUAAUCUGGUGUUAACAUCUAGAUAUCCAUUUAAUUCUGAUCAAUCUUCUAACUGGGAGAUGAUGCUCACAAAUACUUGGUAGCCUUGGCACAUAUCGGAAAGUAGGCAAUACUCAUUCUUGGCAUGAUAUGUGGCCAUUAAACCGUAGCCAGCAGUUUGAACAUCAAAACCUUCAUCUUGCAACUCUCGAAUCAGUGGCAAACUGCCAGUGAUUGAAUAGGGUUUUACAUGCCCAACUACUUUUUCAGUAGCCUUACACAAUACAUGAAAGCCACAAGAAUCCAGAUCACAUGCAACUCCAGACAUCGCCUCAUCAAAGGUCAAAGUAAGGCUCCCUCUUAGGUUUUCUUCAGGUAGGAUAUACUUAGAAACUGGACCUCUUGUAUCUAGCUUCUCUAUGUUCUCAUUUAUGUCAUCCACAUAUUCUUGUAUCUUUUUUUUCACAUCUGUGACAUUGUAGAAGGGAGUUAACCUGACAUCUCCUGAAACUGUACACUCAGCAG
rnacentral:misc_RNA from 1 species